CAGCCGCCACGGGAAUACGGAGGAUCCAAGCGUUAUCCGGAUUUAUUGGGUUUAAAGGGUGCGUAGGCGGCCUAUUAAGUCAGGGGUGAAAGACGGUAGCUCAACUAUCGCAGUGCCUUUGAUACUGAUGGGCUUGAAUGUACUUGAGGUAGGCGGAAUGUGACAAGUAGCGGUGAAAUGCAUAGAUAUGUCACAGAACACCAAUUGCGAAGGCAGCUUACUAAAGUAUGAUUGACGCUGAGGCACGAAAGCGUGGGGAUCAAACAGGAUUAGAUACCCGCGUAGUCCCUGUCUCUUAUAC
rnacentral:rRNA from 1 species